rnacentral:rRNA from 1 species
UUGCUGAAAGAUGGCCUCGCGUCUGAUUAGCUAGUUGGAGGGGUAACGGCCCACCAAGGCGACGAUCAGUAGCCGGUCUGAGAGGAUGAACGGCCACAUUGGGACUGAGAUACGGCCCAGACUCCUACGGGAGGCAGCAGUGGGGAAUAUUGGGCAAUGGGGGAAACCCUGACCCAGCAACGCCGCGUGAAGGAAGAAGGCUUUCGGGUUGUAAACUUCUUUUACCAGGGACGAAGAAAGUGACGGUACCUGGAGAAAAAGCCACGGCUAACUACGUGCCAGCAGCCGCGGUAAUACGUAGGUGGCAAGCGUUGUCCGGAUUUACUGGGUGUAAAGGGCGUGUAGGCGGAGAUUCAAGUCAGGAGUGAAAACUAUGGGCUUAACCCAUAAACUGCUUUUGAAACUGAAUCCCUUGAGUAUCGGAGAGGCAGGCGGAAUUCCUAGUGUAGCGGUGAAAUGCGUA